rnacentral:lncRNA from 1 species
UGAAUACAGCCGGCAGCUCCCUAUGAUUGCAAUCCUCCUGCGAAAUUUUACGGGUGUUUUAUGUGUAAUGUACAGGACUCCGUUUUUUUAUACUUUCUGGCCAGCCCAACCUGGUUAACAGUUACACCCACCUCAAAAAGGAUGAGCCACGUUGCAGGAUCAGGUUUACAGCACCUGUGUAAUGAUUAGGUUUGCAGCUGGCAGGCAUCUCAGGAUGAGGGUUGUGGCACCAGCUCAAGGGAUGGGGAUGGGACCCUGGCUGACAGCUUUCGGAUCUGAAAACAGCUGCAGGAUGGGGAUGACCACGGUUUAAGGGAUUGGGGAUGGGACCCUGGCUGGCAGGAUGGGAUUGGGGCCCAGCUGUAGGAUGAGGAUGAGAAGCCUGUCAGAGGGAUGGGAUUAUGACGGGCCCUUAAGAUGGGGAAUGGGGGACGGUUGCCCCUGCCGAGGCUGGGAGGAUGGCUGACCAGUACCCCCACUUUGGCUCCCCGAAGGGAAUACCAUCCCCACAGGCGUAUUUUAACGUAUUAUUAAAAUACGACACCCCAGGAUUGGGGAUUGGACCCCCUUUGCAGGGACCCCUCUGUAUGUACUGCGCCUCGCUUUCCCUAGUCGCCGCUUUAUCCUUGAUAGGACUUUUUUGCAUCUUAGCACUCCCAUGAGGCUUUUCCUGUGUCGACCUGUAGUUGAUGGGUCCAGUGGCGCACGGAACUCACGGAAAGGCACUCUCUAUGACGUCCUUCACCCCCUCAGCCAGCCCUCCCACGCUAUCUUGCAAAGACAGCGAAGGUUACGGCUGUCUUCCGUUAAUCAGGUCUGUUCUGGAACUUUCGUUACGCAACACGUGUUGUGCCCACCCGUACAGACACAU